UCCCUGCUUGCUCAGUUGGUAGAGCAUGAGACUCUUAAUCUCAGGGGCAUGGGUUCGUGCCACAUGUUGGGCA
rfam:Picoides pubescens contig33292, whole genome shotgun sequence.